rnacentral:misc_RNA from 1 species
GGUGAUGGGUAUGGUGAUCGUCUGGGUGCUGGUGCGUUACAAGUUUCCCGGCCGCCGUAUCUUUGACGCCAUUGUCGACAUCCCGUUCGCGCUGCCGACCGCCGUUGCCGGCGUGGCGCUGACGGCGCUGUUCGCGCAGAAGGGUUGGCUCGGCGCGCCGCUGGCGGAGUGGGGCAUCAAAGUCGCCUUCACGCCGAUCGGCAUUUUCGUCGCGAUGAUCUUUAUCGGAUUUCCGUUUGUGGUGCGCACGGUCCAGCCGGUGCUGCUCGAUCUUGAAGUCGAGGUCGAGGAAGCAGCCGCAAGUCUUGGCGCGUCGCGCUGGGACAUUAUCCGG